GAGGAUGGUGAGCAUUGAAGGCGAGUCAGACACCAGGCAAUGUACCAGUGAGGAUGUUGAGCCUCGAAGAGGGGUGGACACCGGGCCGUGUGCCAGCGAGGACUCUGAGCCCUGAAGGGAGUAAACUGUGAGAUCCCACAU